rnacentral:sRNA from 1 species
CACAUAAAUAGAGGGAACAAAUGUGUA